UGUCCCUUAAUUGUAAUACAUGUAUAUGUGACAUAAUCUAAUCAAACUAACUCAUAAAUGGACUUAAUCGAUCUCAUGGACCACAAAUUCUUCAAUUACUUGCAAAUUUGGUGAGUUCCUUCAAACGGUGGGCGAAGAGCUUAAUUUUGAGAGAGAGAAAAAGUCGUGAAGAGUAUUUGCGAGAGAGGGGGGAACGUCGCCAGAGAGCAUUUGCGAGAGAGCUAAAGACAGUGACGAUGUGGGAUGAAGUAAGGUUUUUUUCGGUCAUUGUUCACAAGUGGGAUGAAAGCUUCGAAUUAUUUGUUUUAAAUCAAAAAGCAUAUGAUUGAAGGAAAACAUUGAUUUUUUAUUAGGGUAAUUUUUAAUGACACAUAAUUUAUGCCAUUAUUUACAAUGCGAAAAUUUUGUCAAGAAAACUCAAUUUGUGUCACAAAAAAUUUUGUAUUUUUAUUUUUAACGACACAUUUUAUUCCCUCAUAUCCCUUUUUCUUGAUUUCAAGUGUCAUUAAAACUUAUAUUUCUAAAUAAAUUUAUUCGACGAAAGUGGCUAGAUUGGUGGGUUUGACGGCGAAGGCUUGUUGUGGGAGCAACGACAACAGUGGUUGGAGUGUGGAAUCGACGACGGCAAGUGGCAAAAAAUUGGAGGGCAAGGGUUCUUCAUAACGACUCGGUUCGGCCAGUAUCACCUAACAAUUCAUUUUCACCAAGAGAAUAAACAUGAGUAGCCUUGGAAUCAAGUUCCUCCGAUAAAAGCCACGGAGUUGAUGGGUUAGAGACAGAACCAGAAUUUGAGUUCAACGAUGUGGAUGCAAAAUUUUGAAACUAGCAGCAACAUGAAGUUAAGACAACGAAUUAUUUUCAAUAUAGAAAGGCUAAUUGUAAGAAGUUGUUAAUGAAGUGUCCAAAUGCAUUAUGGUAAUAUUGGGUGCAGAAUGUUUGGAAGUUUUAUCCGUGUGCUGUGAAGCACCACAGAGUUGAAGCAUAUGAAACCUGUGUUUAUCUGACAAAAAAUAGUGUCAUGAUCAUUGCCUUUCCAUUCCAUAAAUUUAUGGAUAGCAGAAGAAAGAGAACUCUCAACACUUGAAUCACCAUAUAGCACUCUACAUCCAGGUGGUGCCUUGAUUUUUGAAGAUUUAGUUAAAAGCAGUGAUAAAAUUGGUACAGAAAUUACAGUGCAUUUCUCGAUAUGCAACAACAUUAAGAGCAACUUAAAGACAACAAUCAUCAAGAAAUCUAGUAUUUAAAAUGUACAAAGAGCAGUAGUAAACAUAUGUAUUUUAUGGCUGACUUUAUCCAUAAUAAAUGUUGGAUUAAAUCAUCAAAAUAAAACACAAAUAGAUAAUUAUCGAGUUUUUCAA